AAAUAUUUUUAUUCAUAUAAAUUUAAGGAUGUUGCAUUUGCCCAUUGAUGUUAUGCAUUUGUCAACUAUUGAACACGUCCACAAAUGAAUAGAUGAUUUGAAUUUGAAUUUAAUUUUUAUGAACAGGUUGUGAGUGAGUUUGCAUUGUCAUUGGAGUCUAAUACAAUACACCGUCAUCAAAAUUCAAGAAGAAUAAACUCUAUUUACAAAAGCGAAGGACUUCUUUAUCAUAGCUAUUGGCAGCCUGUCUCUUGAUGAGGAUUUCACAAUUCACAAUUGGUUUUUGUUGAAUAUUGGGUCACAUAUCAACAAUUUUGUUGGAUUGCAUACUGGAUAUAUUAGAUGAAUUCGGGUGAAAGACUUUGGAAACAUAUUGUAUGACUCAAGGCUCAUAUAAAGUGGUAGUAAUUAGUUGUUUAAGAACUUUUUUGUAAAAGAAAUUAUCCUGAAUAUCUCUAUAUUUAUCAAUUUGUGUAAUUCUACAUUGGAUUCAAUUUACUGUUUUUUGGAAUGGUAAUGUGCAUAUCAUUAUUUUUCUCAAUCA